GCCCUUUUCCUCUUGCACUACU
rnacentral:miRNA from 1 species